rnacentral:rRNA from 1 species
UACGAGGGGUGCAAGCGUUGCUCGGAAUUAUUGGGCGUAAAGGGUAGGUAGGUGGUCUUAUUUGUCUGGGGUGAAAGCCUUGAGCUUAACUCAAGAAGUGCCCCAGAAACGGUAAGACUAGAGUCCUGGAGAGGGUCGUGGAAUUCCCGGUGUAGCGGUGAAAUGCGUAGAGAUCGGGAGGAACACCAGAGGCGAAGGCGGCCCCCUGGGCCGGCCCUGACACUGAGACGCGAAGGCGUGGGGAGCGAACGGG